GCAGAGGUAGUUUAUAAUAAAAUAUGGACUUUGGGAGUCUAAGAAGUUAAAUUUUAAUCCUUUGAA
rnacentral:tRNA from 1 species